CACCGUCCGCAGCCUGCUCGUUUGCGUGGCUGUCCCAGUGAAGGGGACCCCGCGGUCACCCCCCACCCCACCCCCGGUUCCCCGCACAGCGCUCACCGCAGCCUGGGCCAGCGGGUCAGCCUGACCGGCAGGAGCCAGCACCACGACUGCGCCAGGGGACACUGUGUUCUUUGGAUCCGAUACCAAACCAGCCAGGAAGUUCAGUGACCAGCGCUGGACUGCUGCAGAGCUCCAGAGCACCACCUCCUUUCCCACAUCCCUCACAGGGAGGAGAUGAAGAAUAUUUAUUUGGAGAAACAAAGUACCCCACGGCAGCUUCCUCCAAAAUAAAAGGAGUUGGAGGAUGGGGUGGGUGGGAGCUGGGUGUGCUGAGCUCCAGGCUUGGCACCCAAAACAAAAACAAAUGAAAAUUUAGAAAACUCAGGGUUUGUAAGAAAAAUAUUCUUGCUCUGGUAAGCAAGAAGCUGGGGAAUCUGUCUAAUUCAUAGCAGUGACUUCUGAGCUGUCUUCUGAAACACAUUUUGCUUUUUGGAGACUGUUAGAGUGAAAACUUUAGCAAUUCUGUCUAUGCUAUCUUAAAUAUCGCUGUUAAAGAUCUGUGAUUUUAGCCAGGUGUGAUGGUGCACACCUGAAAUCCCAGCACCAUUGGAGGCAGGAAAAUUGCAAGUUCCAGCCCAGCCUGAUCAGUUUAGCAAUUUAGUAAAACCCUGUCUCAAAAUAAAAUAAAAAAAAUUAAAUUCAAACCGGC
rnacentral:lncRNA from 1 species